GAUACCCUAUUAUUUUAAAAGUAAUCAAUAAAAUCUAAUUAGUAAUAGUUAAGUUCUUGAAAAUUAAAGAAUUUGGCGGUAUUUUAGUCUAUUCAGAGGAAUCUGUCCUAUAAUUGAUAAUCCACGAUUUUUUAUACCUAGUUUAUUAAUUUACAUAUCGCCGUAGUUUGAAUAUUUUUUGAAAAUUAUAAUAUUCAUAAUUUAUUUUGAUAGAAAAAAUCAGGUCAAGGUGUAGUUUAUAACUAGGAAGAGAUGGGUUACGAUAAAUAUAUUUAUUAUGGAUUAAUUAAUUAAAUUUUUUUAUGAAGGUGGAUUUGAAAGUAAUUUUAUUUA
rnacentral:rRNA from 1 species